GCUAGCGUGGCCCAAUGGAUAAGGCGCAUGACUGCGAAUCUUGAGAUUCCGGGUUCAAGUCCCGGUGUUGGUC
rnacentral:tRNA from 1 species